UGGUGGAGUGAUUUGUCUGGUUAAUUCCGUUAACGAACGAGACCUCCGCCUGCUAAAUAGUCUGGGGACGUGCGCGUCCCGCGGACUUCUUAGAGGGACUAUGGGUGUUUAGCUCAUGGAAGUCGGAGGCAAUAACA
rnacentral:rRNA from 1 species